CUGCAGUCAGUGGUCAUCACUUCGUCCAUAAUGCCUGUCGUCAGCCUGUCUGUGCUCCCUGAAGCCGUCACCCGGGGGACGCUUGCUGAAAGUGAUUCAAGUAGUCUACAGUGACACUGAGCAUACUCUGGCUGGCAGCUUAAGCAAAGAUCUUUACCUUGAAUCCUUUUCCUAAAAAGAACUAAUGAUGCCACCUACUGGCCGAGGACAGACCACUUCUGGGAUCAGGUACUUGGUAAUGAAGAUUGUGUUUUCUGUGUGACUGGGGUCUUAGCUUCAAAUGCCAGAGACAUUAAUAGAUUGCUACAAAGAGCUGAAGAACAGAGAAGACUAUAACCUCAGGAGGUGAGGGACUGAAAGGGGAGUGACAUACAGAUAUGCUAGGAAGUACUUUAUGGGACUUCUGCAUUAUAUCUAGCCCAAACAAUGAAUUCACAAGACUUCUACAAAAACAAAACAAACAAACAAAACCCCCUACAUCUGGUUAAUCAGCAUCACAAUUCUGUAAUAGUAAUACUUUGAAGGGAAGUUACCAUCAAAAGAACUAGGAUGCAAGCAGCAAAGAAACACUGCAGUGGGACUGUGGAGAGGAUUUUGAUGUAAAGUAAUGCAAGGAUCCAAGUAGAAGAAAAUUCAUGCAAUUAGUGGCACCGUGCAAUUGCAUCUGCAAAGUCCUGACUUUGGUCAGCAGACAAGUGAUUUGGAGCAUACUGACAGUACAAGGAGUCUGUGUUAACUGGAAAAAAAAAUCUUUGUUAACAAAGGUGCUGCCAGGACACUUGCCCAACUGAUGAGCUAAUUUGUGAUCCACAGCAAGGAAGGCCAAACUUCUGUGUCUCUAGUUUUACUUCACUGUUUAAUUAUUUCUCACAGAAGAGGCUGUCUCUUUUAACUGAUUUGUAUGAUACAUAUAACAGCUAAUCCUUUGGCUCUGUUGCCUUAUUAUAAAUACACUCUGCAUGUGGUUUGUUUCCAAGAGCUUUCCAAACUUAAAAAGAAGCAAGAACCUAUGAACUAUGCAAGUAGCUGAAGAUAGUUCUGCAAUAUUUUUGACAAGUGUCAGGCAAGAAGUUGCAAUAAAUACAGAUGAAAUCCUGUAAUAACUUAAU